UACAGAGGUCUCAAGCGUUGUUCGGAUUCAUUGGGCGUAAAGGGCGCGUAGGCGGCCAUGCGUGUCUUCCGUGAAAUCCCUCGGCUUAACCGAGGACGUGCGGAAGAAACUGCAAGGCUCGAGUCCGGAAGAGGGGGGCGGAAUUCCCAGUGUAGCGGUGAAAUGCGUAGAUAUUGGGAGGAACACCAGUGGCGAAGGCGGUCCCCUGGGCCGGAACUGACGCUGAUGCGCGAAAGCGUGGGUAGCAAACGGG
rnacentral:rRNA from 1 species